GGAUGUUAUGAUAGUAUUUGUAGAACCAUUCGUAAUUUGAACAACACGAUUCUGUAAUAUGGUGACUGAUGUUGUAUCUGAUCCUUUUAUCUUAUAAUAAGUUCGAUUUUUCUAGGUUUUAAUGUUAGUAUGAUGUAUUGUUAAAGUUUGAUUAUUUGAUCCUAUAUAUGUUAAUUUGAUAGCUUAAUAUGUGUUGUCUUCAGUAGAGUAUCUCAUCUUUGUUUUUAUCAUUUAGAUUUAUUCCUCAUUUUGACAUGUAUCUUGUAUCUUUUAGUCCAUAGGUUUAAUGAUUUGUUUUUUAAUUUUGAACCACAAUGAAAUGAUGAUGUUUAUCCUUCAUGAUCUGCGAUGAGAUAUGAUGAUGUUUAUCCUUCAUUUCUGCAAAAGAAUGAUGAUUAUCAACAUGCACUACCAUCUGAUCUCUU